GAAAUUAUUAAGGAAGCUGACAGUUGGAAGUGGAAUACGACAAACAUUUCCCUUGCUGGCUUGGCAGCGGUGUUCAUUGUUGCUUUUGUCGCAGUGGUCUGCAUUCUCUGCUGUCGCAGGCGCUAUUGUUAUUACAGAAUUCCCCAGGACGAUCCAAAUGGUGGCGUUGUGAGAUACGCCAGAGCAACACAACCGGAAGGACAAGCAUUGGAUGAGGCAGACGCAGCUGUGCAGCUUAAGAGGCCAAGUGAACCACGAAGACUUGACUGAUGAAACGCGCAGAGAAGGAAGGUGUUGGAGUCCGGUUGACUCCAAUUAGGGACUGGUACAAAUUGAUUUCGGGCAGCGUGCAGGCAUGCUUAUAAACUAUUUUUAGCUUGCGAAGGUGAAAGCCGCGUGCGGUCAGCAGCCAUUCGGCGUGGCCCAUUGCGCAGAUUGCUGCUUUAUGAAGAAAUAGUAGCGCGUCAAACCACGCAUGUAUAAGCAGCUUUUGUGAUGUUGGAGCAAGUUAUUCAAUGUCAUCCCCACCUUGCAUAAACAAUUAGGUGAGACAAAGGUGAAUGACGAAUGACAUCGACUAUGAAUGUUGUGUUAGUCUCCCCCCCCCCCCCCCCCCACGCGCUUCUAUAAAACAUCCCGUAACUUUUCGGUUCUAAUCUUAUGUUCUGCAAUACCUUAGUUCAACACGAAUAGCCCGCAGAUUUCAAAACAAAUUCGCCCUGUAUCAAACCAUCUAUAUCGCAACGUCACUCUACUAAGAGUGACACGAAUAAACUUGAGCAGCUAUAGUCCACAUAUUGUCCUGUCGUGUGCUCCGAACCACAUAUUUUUAAGUAGGGCGCAACACGUGCUGUAGCGUAGUCAUAGAUGUAAACGGUGUAAGAGCUAGUCAUAAAGCGUUGCAGUGUAAGCAAAGCGUAAUACAGCCAUUUCGAAACAGCCAGCUGAAGUUGCUUUACAGCAAACAAUUGCGCAUGCAUUCGGUGCUCUCAGAGUGAAACCGUCCUUGACUCACUGCCAUUCCAAUCCGCUAAUUUUACUCUUGCUCAUAAUAAUUCAAGCCUGUUCAUUUGGCCGUCAUCUUUAUGCCUUGAUCAAAUAUCAGCCUCAUUUAUGUUGGCAGUACAUCUAGGCUGCUUUUUUUUUUUUGUCGACGGUGAAAGUUUCGACGGUGAAAUUGUCUGAACCUAGUGCCGCUCAACAAGACACAAAUUAUACUUCUACUUCACUUGUAUUGGUUGUAAGCCGCUAGUGUAAAAAACAGUCGAGACAGAUCGAAUGUUUCUGUUUUUGAGUAGUGUCGUGCAGAUGCGUUUCAUAGGGCAAACGCUUACAGUUUCGAUUUCAAAAACUGCAAAAUCACGUGCGCAUGCGUUUCCUUUUUUUUUUCACCUCUCACUGCUAUUUUAUACGCAUCUCCUUGUACAAACUACUUAACGGAUCUACGCAGUUAAGUUCAUUGUAUUUCUUCAUGUGCAUUCUGUUAGCAUGCGGUCACUGAAGGUCACUAAAAUGUUUAUCUCUGAUUGUGUCCUACGGGUGGUGGUAAUUGCUUUAAUGUUCUCAGGUUUUGUUACGAGAUGAUCAUAAACAAAGUGUGUGUGUACAAGUAGUUUACCGCAACCUCGAUUACGUUUCGUUGCACAUCCUGUAUUUCGCUCAAAAUUAAACUUGU
rnacentral:lncRNA from 1 species